rnacentral:rRNA from 1 species
CUGGGCACUGUCUCAACGAGAGACUCGGUGAAAUUAUAGUACCUGUGAAGAUGCAGGUUACCCGCGACAGGACGGAAAGACCCCGUGGAGCUUUACUGCAACCUGAUAUGGAAUGUUUGUACCGCUUGUACAGGAUAGGUAGGAGCCGAAGAGACGUGUGCGCUAGCAUACGAGGAGGCAAUGGUGGGAUACUACCCUGGCUGUAUGACCAUUCUAACCCGCCACGCUUAGCGCGUGGGGAGACAGUGUCAGGUGGGCAGUUUGACUGGGGCGGUCGCCUCCUAAAGAGUAACGGAGGCGCCCAAAGGUUCCCUCAGAAUGGAUGGAAAUCAUUCGCAGAGUGUAAAGGCACAAGGGAGCUUGACUGCGAGACUGACAAGUCGAGCAGGGACGAAAGUCGGGCUUAGUGAUCCGGUGGUUCCGCAUGGAAGGGCCAUCGCUCAACGGAUAAAAGCUACCCCGGGGAUAACAGGCUUAUCUCCCCCAAGAGUCCACAUCGACGGGGAGGUUUGGCACCUCGAUGUCGGCUCGUCGCAUCCUGGGGCUGUAGUCGGUCCCAAGGGUUGGGCUGUUCGCCCAUUAAAGCGGCACGCGAGCUGGGUUCAGAACGUCGUGAGACAGUUCGGUCCCUAUCCGUCGCGGGCGCAGGAAAUUUGAGAGGAGCUGUCCUUAGUACGAGAGGACCGGGAUGGACACACCGCUGGUGUACCAGUUGUUCCGCCAGGAGCAUCGCUGGGUAGCUAUGUGUGGCAGGGAUAAACGCUGAAAGCAUCUAAGCGUGAAGCCCCCCUCAAGAUGAGAUUUCCCAUUUCUUCGGAAAGUAAGAUCCCUGAAAGAUGAUCAGGUAGAUAGGUUUGGAGUGGAAGUGUAGCGAUACAUGGAGCGGACAAAUACUAAUCGAUCGAGGACUUAACCAA